ACGCUCGACACCUAGGAGGCAGCAGUGGGGAAUAUUGCACAAUGGGGGAAACCCUGAUGCAGCGACGCCGCGUGGAGGAAGAAGGUCUUCGGAUUGUAAACUCCUGUUGUUGGGGAAAAAGAGGAUGGUACCCAACAAGGAAGUGACGGCUAACUACGUGCCAGCAGUCGCGGUAAUCUGAGCGGGCUGGCAAGGC
rnacentral:rRNA from 1 species